rnacentral:rRNA from 1 species
UACGGGGGGAGCAAGCGUUGUUCGGAUUUACUGGGCGUAAAGGGCGCGUAGGCGGCGUGACAAGUCACUUGUGAAAUCUCCGGGCUUAACUCGGAGCGGCCAAGUGAUACUGUCGUGCUAGAGUGCGGAAGGGGCUACUGGAAUUCCUGGUGUAGCGGUGGAAUGCGCAGAUAUCAGGAGGAACACCAACGGCGAAGGCAGCUCGCUGGGACGGUACUGACGCUGAGGCGCGAAAGCGUGGGGAGCGAACAGG